UAUUUCGCUACCCUACCUGCAGCAUUAGGACCCCUUUAAAUUACCUUCCCUGGACGCAGCGCGAUCCCGUUCUGCGGAUGCUGCAGUGUUUGAGGGAACCAAAUUGCAAAGAAAUGGGCCGAAGUGGCAAGAACGUCCCUGCUGUUGGAUGGGAGAAGAAAAAAAGAUGUUGCCAGGUAGCUGAUGUUAACCGAUUACUACCAAUGGGUUGGAUGAGAGAAUAAGAUGUUGCCAGGAAGCUGAUGUUAAGCGUUUACAACCAAUGGGUUGGAUGGGAGAAACAGAUGCUGCCAGGUAGCUGACGUCAACCGUUUACAACCAGUGGGUUGGAUGGGAGAAACAGAUGCUGCCAGGUAGCUGAUGUCAACAGUUACUCAAACAAUGGGUUGGAUGGGAGAAGAAAAAAAUGUUGCCAGGUAGCUGAUGUCAACCGUUUACAACCAGUGGGUUGGAUUCCAACAGAAUGGUUGAUGGCAACAGUUGACAACCAGAUUUCAGCGAAAGAUUUGCAGCCAACAUAGACGUUAAAAUGUCUUGAGCCCAUGAUUCUACGUAAAGGUUGAUGUGAUGCCAGAAUUAUGUGCCAGAGAUGGGUAUAUGCAUGCAAAUGUGCAGACCCGUAAGUCGAAGUCGUGUCAGAAGAGGAGUUGUGAACGGUUUGCAGCAUGAUGGUGAACUGUCAAGCUACUUUGUAGUAUUGUGUAUCAAUUUAAACAGUUGUUUCAGUGCUGUUGUAUUUCCAAGGACAGUUUGAGGAGUAAUUGCUUAAUCUUUUUCAUUUUCCAGUUCUUUGUAAACUGCAUUUUCUAAAUUGAGUUUACUUUUACAUUUUAAUAAAAAUCACAAUUACAUAUGA